UUUAGGCUGUUGAAUAUUGUGUCGUGGAGAGGAUAAACACAGUUACUCAGAUCUUACGAAUUGUGGGUUUCAUCUGUAAUUGGUGAUACAGUUGUGUAUAGUUCAAAAAACUAGUGUUGAUGACAAGUUUGGGGAUGAGAUUGUUGAGAACUGGACGGUUAAGAUGAACCUUCAAAAGGGAAAAGGCAAACCCAAAAUGAGUGGAAGUAGUAGAAGAGAUGCAGCAAAGCCAUGGAUCAUGAGGUACCUGGCUCAGUGGGAACCAGUGCCAGCUUCUCUUUGAGAUUGGGUCAGGCUAUUUUUUCCUCUGCUUCACUUCUCUUCAUGUCUUUGGGGGUUGAGUUCUACAACUACACUGCUUUCUGGAUUUCAUGUCCAACAUGAAUAUUCCCGUCAUAAAGGUUCGCCUAGACAUAAGUGGUUGUGAAUCACUGAUAGAGGUUCGGGUAUGAGCCUAUUUUGAGGCUGUUGCAGGCUAUCUUCAUCUACUAUUUACUCAUCAAUCUAUAAGUUCAUAUAUUC